AGAGUUUGAUCCUGGCUCAGGAUGAACGCUGGCGGCGUGCCUAAUACAUGCAAGUCGAGCGAACGGACGAGAAGCUUGCUUCUCUGAUGUUAGCGGCGGACGGGUGAGUAACACGUGGAUAACCUACCUAUAAGACUGGGAUAACUUCGGGAAACCGGAGCUAAUACCGGAUAAUAUUUUGAACCGGAUGGUUCAAAAGUGAAAGACGGUCUUGCUGUCACUUAUAGAUGGAUCCGCGCUGCAUUAGCUAGUUGGUAAGGUAACGGCUUACCAAGGCAACGAUGCAUAGCCGACCUGAGAGGGUGAUCGGCCACACUGGAACUGAGACACGGUCCAGACUCCUACGGGAGGCAGCAGUAGGGAAUCUUCCGCAAUGGGCGAAAGCCUGACGGAGCAACGCCGCGUGAGUGAUGAAGGUCUUCGGAUCGUAAAACUCUGUUAUUAGGGAAGAACAUAUGUGUAAGUAACUGUGCACAUCUUGACGGUACCUAAUCAGAAAGCCACGGCUAACUACGUGCCAGCAGCCGCGGUAAUACGUAGGUGGCAAGCGUUAUCCGGAAUUAUUGGGCGUAAAGCGCGCGUAGGCGGUUUUUUAAGUCUGAUGUGAAAGCCCACGGCUCAACCGUGGAGGGUCAUUGGAAACUGGAAAACUUGAGUGCAGAAGAGGAAAGUGGAAUUCCAUGUGUAGCGGUGAAAUGCGCAGAGAUAUGGAGGAACACCAGUGGCGAAGGCGACUUUCUGGUCUGUAACUGACGCUGAUGUGCGAAAGCGUGGGGAUCAAACAGGAUUAGAUACCCUGGUAGUCCACGCCGUAAACGAUGAGUGCUAAGUGUUAGGGGGUUUCCGCCCCUUAGUGCUGCAGCUAACGCAUUAAGCACUCCGCCUGGGGAGUACGACCGCAAGGUUGAAACUCAAAGGAAUUGACGGGGACCCGCACAAGCGGUGGAGCAUGUGGUUUAAUUCGAAGCAACGCGAAGAACCUUACCAAAUCUUGACAUCCUUUGACAACUCUAGAGAUAGAGCCUUCCCCUUCGGGGGACAAAGUGACAGGUGGUGCAUGGUUGUCGUCAGCUCGUGUCGUGAGAUGUUGGGUUAAGUCCCGCAACGAGCGCAACCCUUAAGCUUAGUUGCCAUCAUUAAGUUGGGCACUCUAAGUUGACUGCCGGUGACAAACCGGAGGAAGGUGGGGAUGACGUCAAAUCAUCAUGCCCCUUAUGAUUUGGGCUACACACGUGCUACAAUGGACAAUACAAAGGGCAGCGAAACCGCGAGGUCAAGCAAAUCCCAUAAAGUUGUUCUCAGUUCGGAUUGUAGUCUGCAACUCGACUACAUGAAGCUGGAAUCGCUAGUAAUCGUAGAUCAGCAUGCUACGGUGAAUACGUUCCCGGGUCUUGUACACACCGCCCGUCACACCACGAGAGUUUGUAACACCCGAAGCCGGUGGAGUAACCUUUUAGGAGCUAGCCGUCGAAGGUGGGACAAAUGAUUGGGGUGAAGUCGUAACAAGGUAGCCGUAUCGGAAGGUGCGGCUGGAUCACCU
rnacentral:rRNA from 2 species